CAUAACUAUUGGGCCGUGGGCCCAGUUUGCAGGCGCGAACAGUGAACCGGCCUUCUGGCUUGGUGUCCUUCUCUGGUGCCCUCUGCCGCCGCAUCGCCGAGCUCCCCACCUGAUGGCGUCUUCCACCUCGCCGGCGGCGGCCACGGCCAGUGGCACUGGCGGCAACAGCUCAGUGAACGCUGGGGAGGCUGAUUGGUUCAUGGCGUCUCAUGCUACCAAUCACAUGACAGGUGACCGGACGCUCAUCUCCAACCUGGUACCUGUGAGCAACCAGGUUGUCCAAGCAGGAGAUGGUGAGGGGAUGCUGGUGUGUGGCCGAGGGUCCGUGAACACAGAGAGAGUCGUUCUCCCUGACGUGUGGUACGUCCCAGGGCUCACUAUGAACCUGGUGUCGGUGGGGCAGCUAACUGAAGAUCCUGAUCUGAGUGUCUCAAUCACUCAAUGGGUGGUGGCAUGUGCCGCAUCAGCAAGACCAGUGAUGGGUCUGUUCUUGGUCGAGCACCUUUGAGGUCUAACAGAAAGUAUGUGGUGGACUUUCUGAAAGUUCAACGGAAUUAGGUGUUCAGGUCCCUUAUUUUGCAGCAUGGUGGGCGUCUUCAGAUUUACAGAGGGGUCAAUAGUGAUAUCGGCUACUUCUUUGCUUCAGAUGAUAUCGGCUACGUCCACCUUCUCCUCGUCGGCGGCCCUGCACCAGGAAGACGAUAUCCGGUAGGCAGUCGCUGGGUAAGAUCUCGCCUAUGACGAUAAGCCAGAGGCUGCAGUGCUGCACCAUGUCUAUUACUUCGAUUGAUUUUUCAGGUCAGUUGAUUUACACCUUUGCCUCCAAUUUCAUUAGAUUUCAGUAAGCUCUACCCGUGCUAUACCCUGCUGUAGUGAGUUAUGGCAAUGCAAGCGCUGCUUAGUGAUUCUUGGAACCGGUGUUAUUGAUCACUGCUACCUUUCUUCAGUCAAGAUGAUGAAAUAUAAAUUAAAAUGGCUAGAUUAGUACAUGUAAGCCUGUACGAUGUUAAUAUUUUUUUCUCGAUGUGGCAAGGACUAAACUAUCUGUUAGGACAUGUUUAGAAUGAAAAUAUGAUGCAACCAUCAUCUAUAGUGCGCAGUCUAUGCAAAUAUAGAAAACAAAUACUUUGUGAAACCAUGUUUUUGAACAUGGAGCACAAGCAAUUCAGAUGUUUGCUGAUAAAUUUGAUGCAUGAUUUAUUUUAUAUUCAAGAUCCUACUCGCAGAAGGAAUUGAAAAUUUUCAUAUCUACAGCUACAGAUCAAUGUCUUUCUUCAAUCAGUCACUAUACUCAUCUGAAUCUAAACCUUAGCUUUCGAAACAUAGUAAUUUUGUUGAAUUUUAUUACUUCAUUUCAAUGGUAUCUUAAGUUUCUUAUGAGGAGGAUACUUUCUAAGAGUUAUAGUCUCUUAGAGGUUUCAUCACUGUGAGACUAUUUUGCUUUAACAUCAAUAGUGUAACCUGUGCAAAACCAUGGAGCUUCAUCACAUCCUUUGUAUGGAAGCAAAGUCGUCUCCCGGCAUUUUGGGUACCCACUUGCAGUAUAUUAUUGACACUGGCUUUGGAUGCUGGGUUAACGAGGAGCCUGUGCUUGCUAUAUAACUGCAUGUCUUGCUCUCCAGCCAGAGAUUGUCUAAAGAAGAUAAGAGCAAACUGAUAAAUACUACUGGCAGAGUAUUUGCUGCAUUGCAAGAUUUAAUAAUAGGCUUCCUACUUCUUGAGAAAAUAUAGUAUGGAGCUGUAGAUAAAGCUACAAGCACCAUCUACGCCUUACACCCUGCACCUGAAAUCUUUGCUACUGAGAUUGCAAAUAAGUCCCUUGGUUCUGUAUUCAGUGUGUUUUAGAAACUGAGGACGUGUCAAAUGGAGAAGGAACUCAGAAUGAUACCUUACUGCCAUCACUACCAUCUUCAAAACUGGUUAGAUUUCUUUUUGUCAUGAGCCAUAUAGCAUUUAAUUAUUUGGUGUACAACAAGACUUCCAUUAGGAAAAUUCAGAAAGUGUACACGAGGAAGAUUGAAAGUUCUCAGCCAAUCACUGAAUAUCCUCAGUUAGAAGUAUCUAGAAGUUGGGAGGAAUAAAUGCCAAACUAGGACCUGGUGCAAGUGUGCAACUAUAUUGCCAUUGAAUCCCUCUAUAAAAGCGCAGAAAAGGGGAUCGUUUGUUGUUCUUCUGAAGAGAAUCUCAUAUGACAUUGCGCACAACUAUCAAAGCUAUGUAGGAAUUCGACUUUUUAGGUUUCCUGUAUAUUUUUUUAACAAGUUUCCAUCACUAUCUACACUUAUUAAUUUCUUCUUUUUUUGGACGUAGUUCCCAGAGUUCGAUUUUCUAAGUGCAGCCACUUCGAUUUUUUUAGCACUAUAACCUUUUGAACUUUUGAUGGAUUAUUCAUCUGUGCAUGUCUAUUCUAGGCACAACCUUUCAUCCUUACGACCUGUAAUAUGUAGUAGUGUAAGAUAGAGUUUAUAGGAUGCUUACUUUUUUUUGUUUGGUAUUGUUGUUCCUGCUUCCUGCUUC